AUUGAACGCUGGCGGCAGGCUUAAUACAUGUAAGUCGAGCGAGCGGCGGACGGGUGAGUAAUGUCUGGGAAACUGCCUGAUGGAGGGGGAUAACUAAUGGAAACGGUAGCUAAUACCGCAUACUAUAAGAUGUGCCCAGAUGGGAUUAGCUAGUGGGUGGGGUAAUGGCUCACCUAGGCGACGAUCCCUAGCUGGUCUGAGAGGAUGACCAGCAACACUGGAACUGGGACACGGUCCAGACUCCUACGGGAGGCAGCAGUGGGGAAUAUUGCACAAUGGGCGCAAGCCUGAUGCAGCCAUGCCGCGUGUGUGAAGAAGGCCUUCGGGUUGUAAAGCACUUUCAGCGAGGAGGCGUUACUCGCAGAGGAAGCACCGGCUAACUCCGUGCCAGCCGCCGCGGUAAUUC
rnacentral:rRNA from 1 species